AUGUCAGAGCUGGGAAUUGUAGAAUCUGGGGUCAAAGUUCGCAGCGCGUUCGGUGGUCCUGCAGCUCUGUCUCUUGCUUCAACGGUGUUUGGACGGAACAGACCCGGGGACUCGUCUCUUCCAGCCUCCCACUGCCCUCCGACCUCCUCUCCACUUGCAACCUCCGAGACCACCUUCUCGGCCACCUCCUGUUUCUGGGACCAGCGACCACCAUUUUUGCGGUUAGCUCCUUCUCGCCGACCAUGAGCUCCCGGGUUCGCCAGAAUGAGUCCACCGAGGUGGAGGCAGCCGUCAAGCGCAUGGUCAAUUUGCAUCAGCGGGCUUCUUACACCUACCUCUCUCUAGGCUUCUAUUUCGCCCGCGACGCUGUCGCUCUGGAAGGCGUGGGUCACUUCUUCCGCGAGGUGGCGGAGGAGAAGCGCGGGCGUCUCUUGAGGAUGCAAAACCAGCGUGGCGGCCGCGCCCUCUUCCAGGAUAUCCAGAAGCCCUCUCAAGACGAGUGGGGUAAAACCCUGGAUGCCAUGGAAGCCGCCAUGACCUUGGAGAAGAGCCUGAACCAAGCCCUUUUGAGCCUUCCUGCCCUGGGAUCCACAGACCCCCAUCUCUGUGACUUCUGGAGAACCCCUUCCUAGAUGAGCAGCGAAAUUCAUCAAGAAGAUGGGCGACCACAUGACCAUCCUUUGCAGGCUGGCGGGGCCCGAGCCUGGGCUGGGCCAGUCUCUCUUCGAAGGGCUCACCCUCAAGCACGACUAG